rnacentral:rRNA from 1 species
AUAAGCAAAAUAAGGGCGUAUGGGGGAUGCCUAGGCUCUCAGAGGCGAAGAAGGACGUGAUAAGCUGCGAAAAGCUGCGGGGAUCGGCACACACGAGGUGAUCCGCAGAUAUCCGAAUGGGGCAACCCGGCAUGUUGAAGACAUGUCACAUCGAUAGAUGAGCAAACCCGCUGAACUGAAACAUCUAAGUAGGCGGAGGAGAAGAAAACAAAAGUGAUUCCGUAAGUAGUGGCGAGCGAACGCGGAUUAGCCCAAACCAAAGUUGUUACGGCAAUUUUGGGGUUGUAGGGCUGCGAUAUUGGAUGCGGAUUGAACUGGAAGGACCUGGAAAGGUCUGCGAUACAGGGUGACAGCCCCGUACAGGUAAGAGAAGAUAUCCAUAGCAGUACCCUGAGUAGGGCGGGGCACGUGAAACCCUGUCUGAAUCUGGCGGGACCAUCCGCUAAGGCUAAAUACUCCUGAGAGACCGAUAGUGAACCAGUACCGUGAGGGAAAGGUGAAAAGAACCGUGAAUAACGGAGUGAAAUAGAUCCUGAAACCAUACGCUUACAAGCGGUCGGAGCCCUUUCGUGGGGUGACGGCGUGCCUUUUGCAUAAUGAGCCUACGAGUUAACGUUGCUGGCGAGGUUAAGCAUUUAAGAUGCGGAUCCGUAGCGAAAGCGAGUCUGAAUAGGGCGCUUUAGUCAGUAGUGUUAGACGCGAAACCGUGUGAUCUACCCAUGGGCAGGAUGAAGCUGUGGUAACACAUAGUGGAGGUCCGAACCGGUUGACGUUGAAAAGUCUUCGGAUGACCUGUGGGUAGGGGUGAAAGGCCAAUCAAACUCGGAAAUAGCUCGUACUCCCCGAAAUGCAUUUAGGUGCAGCGCUGGAUUUAAAGUUAUAUAGAGGUAGAGCUACUGAUUGGAUGCGGGGGCUUCACCGCCUACCAAUUCCUGACAAACUCCGAAUGCUAUAUAAUGUUUACCAGCAGUGAGGGCAUGGGUGCUAAGGUCCAUGUCCGAGAGGGAAAGAACCCAGACCAUCAGCUAAGGUCCCCAAAUGUAUGCUAAGUUGAAAAAACGAGGUUUGUCUGCCCAGACAGCUAGGAUGUUGGCUUGGAAGCAGCCAUUCAUUUAAAGAGUGCGUAACAGCUCACUAGUCGAGCGGACGAGCAUGGAUAAUAAUCGGGCAUAAGCAUACUACCGAAGCUAUGGACUUGUAUUAUGUACAAGUGGUAGGGGAGCAUUCCAACAGCGGAGAAGGUGUGUCGUAAGGCAUGCUGGAGCGGUUGGAAAAGAAAAUGUAGGCAUAAGUAACGAUAAUGCGGGCGAGAAACCCGCACACCGAAAGACUAAGGUUUCCUCAGCUAUGCUAAUCAGCUGAGGGUUAGUCGGGUCCUAAGGCGAACCCGAAAGGGACAGUCGAUGGCCAACGGGUUAAUAUUCCCGUACUUGUAUUAGUUGUGAUGGGGUGACGGAGUGAUGAAAGUACCGCCAACUGACGGAAUAGUUGGUUAAAGCACCUACCUAUAAGAGCCGCAGGCAAAUCCACGGCUUUUGGGGAAAUGCGAUAGUACACGGAGUCUUCGGACAAAGUGAUAGUGUACCUAAGGGCUUCCAAGAAAAACCUCUAAACUUAGAUUGAUACAACCCGUACCGUAAACCGACACAGGUAGUCGAGGAGAGAAUCCUAAGGUGCUCGAGAGAUUCAUGGCUAAGGAAUUAGGCAAAAUAGACCUGUAACUUCGGGAGAAAGGUCGCCAGCAGCAAUGCUGGCCGCAGUGAAAAGGUCCAGGCGACUGUUUAUCAAAAACACAGGGCUCUGCAAAAUCGUAAGAUGAGGUAUAGGGCCUGACACCUGCCCGGUGCUGGAAGGUUAAGAGGAGAUGUUAUCUUCGGAGAAGCAUUGAAUUGAAGCCCCAGUAAACGGCGGCCGUAACUAUAACGGUCCUAAGGUAGCGAAAUUCCUUGUCGGGUAAGUUCCGACCUGCACGAAUGGUGUAACGAUCUG